rnacentral:rRNA from 1 species
CGGUAGCAGGAAGUGCUUGCACUUUGCUGACGAGUGGCGGACGGGUGAGUAAUACUUAGGAACAUGCCUUUGUGUGGGGGAUAACCAUUGGAAACGAUGGCUAAUACCGCAUAAUGUCUUUGGACCAAAGAGGGCUUUCGGGCUCUCGCGCAAAGAGUGGCCUAAGUGAGAUUAGCUUGUUGGUGAGGUAAAGGCUCACCAAGGCGACGAUCUCUAGCUGUUCUGAGAGGAAGAUCAGCCACACUGGGACUGAGACACGGCCCAGACUCCUACGGGAGGCAGCAGUGGGGAAUAUUGCACAAUGGGGGCAACCCUGAUGCAGCCAUGCCGCGUGUGUGAAGAAGGCCUUCGGGUUGUAAAGCACUUUCAGUUGUGAGGAAAGGUUGGUGGUUAAUACCCAUCAGCUGUGACGUUAGCAACAGAAGAAGCACCGGCUAACUCCGUGCCAGCAGCCGCGGUAAUACGGAGGGUCCGAGCGUUAAUCGGAAUUACUGGGCGUAAAGCGCACGCAGGCGGUUUGUUAAGCUAGAUGUGAAAGCCCUGGGCUCAACCUGGGAAUUGCAUUUAGAACUGGCAGGCUAGAGUUUUGGAGAGGGGAGUGGAAUUCCAGGUGCAGCG